AUCAAGUCAUGAAGAGAACUCAAGACAAGUUGAACUAGGGACAUCUGAAUCAGUCAUACUGAUUUUCUAGUUAGCAUGGAUCAAUCUCAAUCAUGAAGCGAUCUAAUCAAAAUAUGAUCACCAUAUUGAUCAGGUAAGUGAGAUCAGUGGGAUGGAUAUGCCAUUAACUCAACAUAGACUCAAUCUAUGCGAAUAGCUCUCAAUUAAUGACCACAGAUCAAAGCUGCCAUACUUACCUUAGACACCAACUGAUUAGUCAUUUUCAAUUUGAUUAACUUAUAGAC
rnacentral:lncRNA from 1 species